GACGAACGCUGGCGGCGUGCUUAACACAUGCAAGUCGAACGGUAAGGCCCCUUCGGGGGUACACGAGUGGCGGACGGGUGAGUAACACGCGGGUGAUCUGCCCUGCACUCUGGGAUAAGCCUGGGAAACUGGGUCUAAUACCGGAUAUGAGCUCCUGUCGCAUGGCGGGGGUUGGAAAGGUUUACUGGUGCAGGAUGGGCCCGCGGCCUAUCAGCUUGUUGGGGGGGUAAUGGCCUACCAAGGCGACGACGGGUAGCCGGCCUGAGAGGGCGACCGGCCACACUGGGACUGAGACACGGCCCAGACUCCUACGGGAGGCAGCAGUGGGGAAUAUUGCACAAUGGGCGCAAGCCUGAUGCAGCGACGCCGCGUGAGGGAUGACGGCCUUCGGGUUGUAAACCUCUUUCAGCUCUGACGAAGCUUUUGUGACGGUAGGAGCAGAAGAAGCACCGGCUAACUACGUGCCAGCAGCAGCCGCAGUAA
rnacentral:rRNA from 1 species